CCCAGGGAAGCGCAGCCCGGGAGGAGCCUCAGCACCGCCCCUUCCCCUUCCCCUGCCCGCCCGCGGCGACGCCCCGCCAGGAGCCCCCAGCCCCCGCCCCGAGGCAGGGGCGCGGCCGCUCAUGAAGUACUCUUGGUUGUGGAUCAAGAUCUGUCUUCUUGCAGAAUUCAGAUAAAUAGUGAAGUUAGAAUAACACAAACUUUUGAAAGGCAUCAGUGAAAGGCCUACUAUCAAGGAGUUCACACAAGAUUUCUGCUUUUACAGGCUCUGCUAAAAAGUCUGUCGACAUCAUUUUUAUGUCUGCUUCAGGUACUGGAAGGCUGUUACAGGGUCAUCCUGGAGUCUUCUCCACGCUGAACAACCCAGCUCUCUCUCAGCCUUUCCUCACAGGAAAGAUGCUCCAGCCCUCUGAUCAUCUUCAUGGCCUUUCUCUGGACCAGCUCCAACAUUUCAUGUCCUUCCUGUGCUGGGGACCCCAGAGCUGGACACAGCCCUGCAGAUUGAGUCUCAGCAGAGCAGAGCAGAGGGGCAGAAUCCCCUCCCUGGCCUGGGGCUUUGAAUGUAGCCCAGGACAGGUUUGGCUUUCUGGCUGUGCGUGCACGUGGCUGGAUCACAUCCAGCCUCUCAUUCACCAGCACUCCCAAGUGCUUGUUGCAUAGGGCUGCUUUUGAUUUGUUACUUCCCCUGCACAUACAUGUAUAUACAUACACACAUAUAUACAUGUACAUACCUAUGUAUAUGUAUGUGUAUAUGUGUGUGUGUAUAUGUAUAUAUAUGUGUAUAUAUAUAUAUAUACUUGCCAGAGACAUAGUUACACUUGCUACUGAACUUUUGUAGUGUCCUGGUGAAUUCAGAAAUUACAAGAAUUGUCACUGUACAUAUAUUUUGAAAAAUGUAUAUGAAUACAUUUGUAAUUUACAAAACAUUCUGUUGACAGAAUGAUUGCACUUGUUUCAUUGCUUGCAAGUGAAGUAAAAUCAAUUUAUUGGGACCUGCAUAUUGGUGAUUUCACAGAAGAAUAUUUAGAAGCCUCCAUGAUCCAUUGCUAGUUUUGAACAUUCAGAAACUGAAGUUACAGCAGCCUACUGCAUGUCAUCUAUCCACCUCCUUUCUAGCUGCUCUCAAUUAUGAUGACUUGUCACCAUUCACUCCAUAAUUACAUUCUCAAGGUUAUUUCCAUCUCUGCUCCCGAUGUGUCCAAAGCAGAUAUAUUUACACCUAUUCAUUUCUGACAACCAAGUCUACUUUUCUCCAAUAAUAUAUUUAAUAUGUGCAUUUAUCAUCUUUUCUGUCUAGAAGAUACCUAAGAGUCUUUGCUUGCACCAUAUCACAAAAACUUCAAUUUUCUUUCUGUCACUAUCAAUAAUUUCUCAUAAGUCACAUUCAUAAGUUGCUACAACAAAAAAUUAAGCAUUUCACCAGUCAAAUCUUUUUACUUCUGUGGUGAAGUUUUUUCCCCUGGCUUUAAUAAGAGAAGCCAGAGAUGAAUCAACUAUUCUUCAAAAUAUUCCAGUUUCUAUUGGGCAGGUUCUGUUUGGGUAGACUUGAUCCCAGGUGAUUGAAAUUAUGAACAGUGUCUUAUAGUUAGGCCUCUAAUCAUGAAGCUAGCUAAUAUGCUAAUUUUAUUAAUUAGGUAAAGUAAUUUCCUUUAUGGCAUGGUCAAGAAUACCCUGUGAUUUUAGCCUUUUAUUGUCUCUCUGAUACUUGGUGUACAGCAGAAGUGGUUGUGACAGAGUGCUAUGUCAUCAGCUGAAGGUCAUUUAAAAGAAGUAAAUUUCAAAUUCAGCUUUUCCAUUCCAUGAAGUCCUUCUGAGGUUUUUUUUYUGUCUCAGCCAGACUGCGAGGAAAUUUGCAGUUACUUGUAAUUUUAAUAGUAGCAUAUGGUUCUUUAUAUUCACUUGGUACUUUUUCAAUAAUCCUCAUAUUUGAGGAAAUUCUGAGUGUAUGGGACUGCUUAGAGAAAAUACUACUGGGGAAAUUGGGAAAGUUUGGCAAUAUAUUUAGCCUGUUUUCUGGAGGCAAGACAAUGAGUCUUUCUGCCCAUUUAAAUGAGAACUUUCCUAUGAUCGAUUAAAAAAUGAGAACAGGUGUGRUACUAAUAAGUUCAGAGUAAGAGGUUCAUUUUUUAAAAGUAUCAAUUGUAUUUAUGUUGCUUAUUUUUCCACAGAUAUAAUGAAUUUUUCCACAGAUAUAUUGUCUGCUGCUCACAGCAGAGGAAAGAAUUAUAUGAAAUUUUGCAAAUUAAUAUGAACUUGGAAUUUACCAUUAUGGUGAAAGAAAGAUGUUUGAUGAAUGGAUGUGCAGCCUCAGAGCUGUACUGUAAUGACGGGGUCAUUUCACAUUGAUGGAUAGGUUAUGUGGUGCAUUAUUCAGAGGCUUAAAAAGGGGUUGCAUUUAUCAAACUCGGGGAAGCAUCAAAGUGUGUGGGUAUGAUUCUGUGAGCAACAGAAUCAUUACAGUUUGCCUUUGAACAAAGUCAGGAAAUAUAUUGAUCAUAUAGGUUUAUGCACUAGGGGAGCAACUAAUGAUGAUCCAGUCAAUGUGUUCCAUGAACGGCUCAAGGGGGUAAUCAUUAAAAYAUUACACCACUGCACCAUUCGGGAACCUGAAUAUGAAAGCUGGGAUUUCAAACCCUUGAACAGUUUGAAUUUAUAAAAUAAAAUUACUUCUUUGUGCUAUUCCAGUCACUUCAUCCUUACAAUUCUGCUUCAGUCAACGCACUGGAUGUUUGCAUCCAGGGCAUCAGCCAGCAUGACAGUUGCAGCACACUGACAACAUAGUGAUCCAGCAGAAGGGAAUACUGUGUAUGAAUGGAAGAACAAUUUCCUAAAUUCAUGAGAUGUAGCAGCAGMGAAGCUAAAUAAGGUUCUUUGAGCCAGUACUUGAGUGCGUGCUUGGCAAAGUAGACAUUGAAUUGGUGUCUAAAGAGAGCACAGAAUAUCAAGUGUUGAGUAGACCAGAAGUAACCUAGACAAGGCAAGAGCAAAUACAGAAAUGAGAAAAGUAUAGUCUUGAUAAAAAUGCUUAGUAAUACAAAAACUAUGUUAACAAUAUUCAGAUUUAUAGCCAAAAAUUYUUCAUGAUGGAAUAUAAAAAAGUCCACGAUGGUGGAGUGAUCAAGGUGAUACUAAUGCCAGCAGAGGCAUUGCUGCUUAUAAAGUAGACUGGUAUGUAUCCACUUAGAAUUUCACCAACAUCUAAUACCACUAUUUAUAUCCGAUCUGAAUUUGGCAAGGCAGCUCAUGUGUACGCUGUGUAAUAUGCUAUAAGUAUGCUGUAUCAAGCACAUAAACACUUGAUUUCUUAAGUAUAUCUUUGCACUGUGCUUUUUAUCUUCCAGACACUGCAUACUUACACCUAAUCAUUUAUAUUUUCAGGGAAGCGCUUGCUGAAAUUGUAACCUUCCUUUAUCUAAGUCCUUCAAUAAGACAGAAAAAGACUUCUAGCCACCAUGUGAACAUUUAAGUCAUUAUUUUAGAUAGGUUUUGUUUAUGAAAAUGCCAUUGACCUAUAUUUAUCAAUAACUUUUAAACCUUCCAGAUCUGCUCAGCAGCCACCUCUAAUCUAGAAUAAAUUGGAGUGAACCAUAUUUUUCAUCCAUUUUCAGUAUCAUUAAGCUGCCUGGAUGCACUCUGUUAGGCAUGAAUUUUUCUUCUAAAACUGUAACAAUAUGUUCUCUUACACAGCUUCACAGUAAAAAAAAAGAUUUAAAUGAAAAAACAUGUUGAUAAGUCUAUCAGAUUCUGAAUAUAGUAAGACACAACAGAUUAAUAUUACUUCUAGGGUAGUAAAGGCAUAGAUCCUUAAAUCCCUUAAGGAAGCUGCUUCAUUUAGCAAGUAGCUAAUAACACUAAAAGAAGUACACAAAUGCUGACAUAAUCUAUGAGGAAAAAAAAAAAAAACAAAACAACAAAGCCUCUCCUCUAUGGUUUCCUGAAUUUAAGCAAACUUGCGGUAAUAUUUUAUCUGUCUUACCAAAGCCUUAUUCUGAUGUUUGUCUCUCUGCUUCUUUCUGAAAGAUUUGUCCCUUGACCUGGUGGGAAAUGGGAACACAAGAAAAGAUAUAAAUGAACAGGAGAAAUGGGAUGAACAAAGACAAACACAUGUAGUAGAAAAUCUGCAGCUGGCUGGGCAGUAGGAGUUUAAUGUGAGCAAACAAAAAUGCAGAGAUAGAAGGUGAAAUAAAUAGCACUGAGUGAAUUUUAAGUAUCUUUUUAAUAUUAUUAUUUGUGUGAUCUGUAAGUAUAAUUUUGCCAAAUUCAAGAUAAACUGGAGAAGCCAGAUUCUGACAAUAUAAGUAAAUGUUCUCUUACAUAUCUUAAAACUAGUUACACCUACAGYUCUACUUACCUAAUAUGAAGACUCCUUUCAAUUUUGAUUUUGGCUUUGCAUUUUUAGCAGCCACUAAAAUAAUCUCUUUGGAAACUAGCUGAACAAACUUGCAAGAAGUUUUUUAAAAACACAUCACACACUAUUAAAAUUCCAAGUUUAAAAGGAGAUUGUUGUGGAUUUCUUUUGCCCUCUGUUUACAUAUGAAGGGUUGUUCCAGGUCAACUGGAGAGCUGCAUCASAAUAUAUUGGGAGCUUUUAUUUUGGUGUGCAUAUGUCCUGCUUGCUGUUUUGAUGCUACCAUGGUUAKUCUUCUUGCUGAGACCUGGGAAGAACAUGUGUGAUAGUGGCUGCAGUCACACUUGGGAGUAAAUCAUCCUACCCUUCAGAAAGUGGUGAACCUGACAGUGUAGAGUUUUGAAAAGUAAAUGAAACAAGCUUCAAUUAUGGAAAUAUUGUUUGUUUUCUAUUUCAUCCUAUUAAUGGGGUUAAAUGUAAUCUAGAUAUGAAUUUACUUGUGUGUGCCUUUUAUUGCUGAAUUUGAAAUGUACGUGUAACCAGAAACAAUAAGGCAAGUUCAAAAACAUGCACCUUUAACAGUCAUCUAAGUCACAAACUGCAUAAUGCUGCUGAGAAAAAUAAGUACCAACUUGUGUAUGGAUGUUGUGGUUUAACCCCAGCCAGCAACCAAGUCUCACAUAGCCACUCAAUCAUUCCCUCACAGUGGAAUGGGAAAGAGAAUURGAAGAGUAUAAGUGAGAAAACUCAUGGGCUGAGAUAAAGACAGUUUACUAGGUAAAGCAAAAGCUUCACAUAAGCAAAUAAAACCAAGGAAUCCAUUUACUACUUCCCAUGGGCAGGCAGGUGUUCAGCCAUCCCCCUGAAAGCAAGGCUUCAUCAUGUGUAUUUGGCAAGAACAAAUGCCUUCACUCAAAAUGUACCCCCCCUUUCUCAUUUUCCACCAGCUUUMAAUACUGAAGGUGACACUGUAUGGUCUGGAAUAUCCCUUUGGUCAGCUGGGGUCAACUGCUCCACAUGUGUCCCUUCCCAACUCCUUGAGCAGAAAAUGCCUUGACUUUGUGUAAGGGCUGCUCAGCAAUAACAAAAACAUCCCUGUUGUGUUAUCAACCCUGUUUUCUGCACAAAUCCAAAACACAGCCUCAUACCAAUCACUGUAAAGGAAAUUACCCCACCCAAACCAAGCACARCGGAUGAGGGAAAAAUUGGCAAUUUGUUCUGCUGAAUAUGUAAUUUUCCUUUUUCACUCUUCUACUAUGAAAUAUAUUUAGUUUAUUUUAUGUACAUGGAAAAUAGGAAASUUCAUAAUAAAAACUGUUACAAAGAUAAAAGUCUUACUUAAGUUUUGAGGUACACAUUUUUGUCUCCUAACCAUCACCACUGCACAGAAGAAGAAAUACUAAUUCUGAAAUUGAAGAACUACACAGAAAAUAUGAACUAUUUCCAUUUCAAUAUUCUUUUAAGUUAGUUGUUCUUUCUUCUGGGUUUUGGGGAAUGUCAUCAGAGAAAUGAAGGGGUUGAAAGGGUUCCAUGUUUGAUAAUCUAUUUGAAAAAAGCGUAAACUUGUUUUCAUGCUGGUUGUAUCAACUGUUUUGGUUUGGGGGUUGGUUUGUUUGUUUGUCUGGGUUUUUAAUAAGUAGUCUAUUACAGAUGGGCCCAGAUCCAAAUGACACCACCUCUGCUCCAUCCUGAAUUGUGUAUAUAAGGUUGCGGAUACCAAUCUGAAUGCCAUGAGCUAGAGCAGGAUGGAGUGGAGUUUGUCUUAAGACACRAUUCUCUCAUUCUUUGAACUUGGAAUUGUCAUGAAUUUGACAGGUACAAGCUAACUAAUUUUUGCCUGGUCCUUAAAUAAACUGGAAACUGUACACUGUCCUGUUACAAGGAGUGAUGUCUUUUUAUGUUUCUGAAACUGUAAGAUGGUCCUUWGCUGCUUGUGGCUUUCUAAAUUUGAGUUUCUUUUGUUGCUGGUGUUAUUCACUGGAAAAGAAUGUGGCCCCAUUUCCAGUGAGAGAGGCUAUGAAAUGUUAAAAAAUAGAAGUGAUAGAUGGAUUUUAAAGGGACAAAAAAAAAACCCCAAAGAGGUCAGAAUUUAGAGGAAAGCAAAAGAAGGCCUUUUUUUCCCAUUCAGCAACAACCAGUAGCUGUGGAGUUAAUUUCCUGCUGAAAUAAUUAAAUUCUAUCACGUGACAGUUACAAAGAAGUAUAUAAUAAAGAAUUUUCUUUAAAAAAAAUCUACACAGCUGUUUUUAAAUGUACAUCACUCACUCCCUGCUCCCUUCCCCCAUCUCCUUGGCUUCUUGUUUCAGCAUAAGACAUCUGGCAUACAAGUUAUUCAAGUUCAGAAACCAGUUACUGAAAUCUAAUUAAUAUAUGAGUACUAGUGGGUUUAGACCAUAACAAGUUCCCUAAUUUAUUUUAAUUUAUUUUUACAAACAGUUGGAGUAAUCCACAGAUGUUCAUGACAGAUGUCAAGCACAA